UACGUAGGUGGCAAGCGUUGUCCGGAUUUACUGGGCGUAAAGAGCGCGCAGGCGGUCGUUCAAGUCGCGUGUGAAAGCCCCCGGCUCAACUGGGGAGGGUCACGCGAUACUGAUCGACUCGAAGGCAGGAGAGGGUAGUGGAAUUCCCGGUGUAGUGGUGAAAUGCGUAGAUAUCGGGAGGAACACCAGUGGCGAAGGCGGCUCACUGGUCCGGUUCUGACGCUGAGGCGCGAAAGCGUGGGGAGCAAACAGG
rnacentral:rRNA from 1 species